rnacentral:lncRNA from 1 species
AAUUCCUCCAGAAGCCCAGAAGCCCAAGGCAUCUCUAUAAGGACCCAGAUGUAACUUACAAGAAAUCCCAGCAUCCCACGCCGGGCUAGUUUCUCAAGCCACGCUUUCACCAAGGCAACCCAACGUCCCUGCNAGCAAAAGCCUACCUGCCCCGAAGAAUUUGGUCUCUGCUGUGCCAUACCUGCUGAGAUGCUCAAAAGAAAUUCACAUUACAAUGAAUCCCAGCUGCUUUUAAAUAGAUGCCUCCCAGCCGGUUUUCAGCUGACCCAACUCAGAACGCAGAGAGAAAUGGAACCAAACUUACGGUGCUGAUCCUUUGAACACUUUUGGGCAGCUCUGGAGAGAGGAAAGUAUAGAAUUGCCACCUGCUUAUAGACGGUGCCGAAAUUCAUGAUGUUUGCUUGCUGAAGAGGUUUUGCAACACGAGCGCGCCUCCCCAG